GACGAACGCUGGCGGCGUGCUUAACACAUGCAAGUCGAGCGGUAAGGCCCUUUCGGGGGUACACGAGCGGCGAACGGGUGAGUAACACGUGGGUGACCUGCCCUCAGCUCUGGGAUAAGCCUGGGAAACUGGGUCUAAUACUGGAUAUGACUCCACGGUGCAUGUCGUGGGGUGGAAAGCCUUGUGCGGCUGAGGAUGGGCCCGCGGCCUAUCAGCUUGUUGGUGGGGUGANGGCCUACCAAGGCGACGACGGGUAGCCGGCCUGAGAGGGCGACCGGCCACACUGGGACUGAGACACGGCCCAGACUCCUACGGGAGGCAGCAGGUGGGGAAUCUUGCGCAAUGGGCGAAAGCCUGAACGCAGCGACGCCGCGUGAGGGAUGACGG
rnacentral:rRNA from 1 species